GACGAACGCUGGCGGCGUGCUUAACACAUGCAAGUCGAACGGAAAGGCCCUGCUCUUGUGGGGUGCUCGAGUGGCGAACGGGUGAGUAACACGUGAGUAACCUGCCCUUGACUUUGGGAUAACUUCAGGAAACUGGGGCUAAUACCGGAUAGGAGCUCUUGCUGCAUGGUGGGGGUUGGAAAGUUUCGGCGGUUGGGGAUGGACUCGCGGCUUAUCAGCUUGUUGGUGGGGUAGUGGCUUACCAAGGCUUUGAAGGGUAGCCGGCCUGAGAGGGUGACCGGCCACAUGGGGACUGAGAUACGGCCCAGACUCCUACGGGACGCAGCAGUGGGGAAUAUUGCACAAUGGGCGGAAGCCUGAUACAGCAACGCCGCGUGCGGGAUGACGGCCUUCUAGUUGUAAACCGCUUUCGCCGGUGACGAAGAGUUAGUGACGGUAAUGGGUAAAAAAGCACCGGCUAACUACGUG
rnacentral:rRNA from 1 species